AAUACGACUCCUGGUUUGCCACAAGCCCGGCCUCUGUAGUGAGAGAGCUGUGACUGCGUUUCCAGCUCCUUGAAGGCAGAGAGACUCCUGCCUUUCGGGGCGGGCGGGCUGGAACAAAGACACCAACGGGGCCACCUCGGAAAGUCUUUUUGAGCAGUUUCAGCAAAUAGCAUUUAAGGGAAGGGAAAAAAACUCCAAUGUACUCAAUAAGUGUGUACAGCAAAUUUCUGUUGUGCCUGGGAAGAAGGAAAUUUGAGUUAAAGAGGAGGCCCGCUCCAUAUGCCUUGUCACAAGUACACUCACUGAAACAUUAAUUCACGAAGAGAUUGCAACAAGACCAAAACGAAAGAGGAACAGGGCCUGACAAUGUUCAGAGAAGGAAAACCGAAGAAGUAACCAUCCCCAAGUUAAAAAUGACGUGGGGAUGAAAAAAUAGGUUGCCUGUUGUAUUUGUCAUUGAAAUGCACAAUCUUGUUUACUGUUUAUCUUGAGACUCUGGGAGCUCUCCUGCUGCUUAGGAAAAAAGAGGCAAAGGUUUAGGAAGAAAUGCUAGUCAUAAGAAAGAGAGGCAUUAGAAACCCUAGAGAGAAUGGGAGGUGUAAAUAGUAUGUGGGCAUUUGGCAAUCACCACAAAGAAAUGGGAGACAAAGGCAAGUGUCUGAUGCCAGAAAUCCUAAAAACUUGAGUGGAAAACCCAGACACAAUAAAAAUGUCCAAAAGAAAAAAAAGGCAAAAUCCCAUGAGAUCUUUUUUUUUCUCUGUGAUGUUACCUAAUGGAGAAAAUAAAGGUGGGUUUUGCCACAGUGAUCAUGGUGCCGUAUCCUAAAGGAAGUAGCUUCAUGAUAAGCCUUCAGAGGCUCUCUCCAGGCCAGCCCCAGCCUUAGGACAAAAUGGGACAAUCUUGGGGGACAAUUUCUUUCUCCAAAAAGGGGAUGAGAUUGGGCAGAAGAAACACUUGCAGGGCAGAGUUAUUAUCUCUCUCCCCGAAGAGUUUAAUCAAUUGUGGUCAUUUACAGAUCUCUGUCGUUGUCCUUUUCUCUCUCCCUCUUUCUUUUUCUUUCUUUCUUUCUUUCUUUCUUUCUUUCUUUCUUUCUUUCUUUCUUUUUCUUUCUUCUUUCUUUCUUUUUCUUUCUCUCUCUUUCUUUUUUUCUUUUCUUCUUUCUUUCUGAUGACUUUGCCUUGAAAGGAAUUGCUUAGGAAAGAGGGAAAAGGCAUUUUUAGUCAAAAGCUAAGCUAAGAUCAAAUUAAAUCGGGCAAUGGAAACCUCCUCUGGAGGCUGUGCAGUAGAGUGUGACACCUCCUAAUUUCAUGACUUGGGCAGAUUGCUUCAUUUUCCUACUGUAAAAAAAAGGAAAACGAUAAUAACAGGUAAUGUUUAUUGAACUCCUACAUGGAAUAAGUAUUUUAUACACAGAUCCAUUUCACCCUCUGAAUCUAAUGAGGUAGUAUAAUUAUUAUCUCCGUUUUAUAGAUGAGUGGAGGCUCAGAUCACCCAGCUAGAAAAUGGAGAUAGAAUAUAAUUCUAGAUCAGGGGUUAGCAAUGACCGCCUGAGGGCCAAAUUCUGCUCAGUAUGUGUUUUUGUAAAUAAAGUUUUAUUGGAACCUAGACUUAUUUGCUUAUAUAUGGCCUGUGGCUGUUUUUCAGCUGUAAUAGCAGACACUGUAUGACCCAUGAAACCCAAAAAUUUACUCUUUACAAAAACCUUUACAGAUUUUUGAUCUAGAUUAUCCUAGCCCGUGCUCUUAAUCUCACAUAUGUCCUGCUCCAAAAAUACCUUUUUUUUUUUUUUUUUUGAGGUGAUGUCUCCCUCUGUAGCCCAGGCCGGAGUGCAGUGGUGUGAUCUUAGCUCACUGCAUCUCCACCUCCCAGGUUCAAGCCAUUCUUGUGCCUCAGCCUCCCAAGUAGCUGGGACUACAGGCCUGUACCACCACGCCCGGCUAAUUUUUGUCUUUUUGGUAGAGAUGGGGUUUCUCCAUGUUGGCCAGGCUGGUCUCGAACUCCUGACCUCAAGUGAUCCACCAGCCGCGGCCUCCCACAGUGCUGGGAUUACAGGUGUGAGCCACCACGCCUGGCUAGAAAAAUGCCUCAUUUUAAAAAUGUGAUGCUGACCAGGAAAAACAAAACUAAAAUGUCAAAAGUAAUAAUAGUUAUUAGAUAACUGAAUCUAUUAGGGGUCCAGGAAAAUUAAAAACAAAACAAAGUUUUUAAAAUUUGUGUUCCCCCUUUCUCCUUUUUUUCCGCCAAAACUUGAAAAUGUUUAUAUCCUGAAUUUACAACAAAGGAAAAACCUUUUCUGCCUCAUCAGCUUUAUUGAAACUACAUAUAAAUGCUUAUCUAAAAACCAAAAGUAUAUGCUAGGGAAAUUUCCAAAAUAAUGAAAAAAAUGGUUUUCCAGAAGACAAACAUUAUUUUUCAUAUAUAUUAUUUUAUUUAUUUAUUUAUUCCGAUAAGCAUUUUGCACUUAUUUAUUUAUUUAUUGACACAGGGUCUCACUCUGUUGCCCAGGCUGGAGUGCAGUGGCAAAAUCAUGGCUCACUACAGCCUCGACCUCCUGGGCUUAAGUGAUCCUCCUGCCUCAGCCUCUGGAGUAGCUGGGACUACAGACAUGCACAUCACCCCACCUCACAUAUAUGUUAUUGGCAAAAUUGCAAGUAGAAUACAUUGUUAAAGUAAGAAGCUUCCAUGUUUGAAUGUGAUAUUUACAGAUAGGUAAACUGGGGAUUGGCUCUUGGAAAUUGAUUCGUGUUGCCAUGUGAGCUAAAUUGCUGUUUUCAGUGUUCUAAUAUGGCUUAAUUUUUCAUGGGUUUCCAGGAUCGAUGAAUGUAGCCACAUAACAUAUCCAGGUUUUAAAAAUGUUAGUGAACAAGAUUAAUAAUAGUAUCUUCUGUCUGGGCACACUGGCUCACGCCUGUAAUCCUAGCACUUUGGCGGCUGAGAUGGGAGGAUUUCUUGAGGCCAGGAGUUCGAGACCAGCCUGGUCAAUAGAGUGAGACUCCUUCUCUAUUUAUAAAAAGAAAAUUUAAGGCCGGGCAUGGUGGCUCACACCUAUUAUCCCAGCACUUUGGGAGGCCGGGGCAGGCAGAUCACUUGAGGUCAGGAGUUUGAGACCAGCCUGGCCAACAUGGCAAAACCUGUCUCUACUAAAAUAUAAAAAUUAGCUGGGCAUGGGGUGGCACAUGCCUGUGAUCCCAGCUACUUGGGAGGUUGAGGCGGGAGAAUCGCUUGAACCCAGGUGGUGGAGGUUGCAGUGAGCCAAGAUCGUGCCAUUGCACUCCAGCCUGGGCGACAAGAGUGAGACUCUGUCUCGAAAAUAAAAAAUAAAAUAUAAAAUAUAAAAAUAAAAAUAAAUAAUAUCUUCUGUGUUUCCAAAAUUCCAGGCCCCUUGCUCUGAGUUCUGAAUAUUCUAUGCCAAGCCUUCCUGAUAACUCUAUAAGGCAGAUGUCAUUUUCAUUUUCUAGAUAAGAACGAGGCCCAGGUACACCAGGUGCCUCAUCUAAUACAUGGCUGAAUGACCUCAAAUCCCAUACUUUUUUUUUCCUCUAAGAGGAGGCCUGUGUUCGAUUGUUCGUCUUUUCAUUCAGGCAAAUUCUUACCUACUUCAGAGCAUACCAGGUGCCAGGCACUGCCCUGUGUUCUGGGAAUCCGGGAGUGAACAAGACAGAUAGUAACUCAGUUGUAGUCAAUGAACAGGAUAUUUUCAGGUGAAGAGGAGGAAUGCUAGGAAGGAAACGACACGGGAUAGAAGAGACAGAAAGUGAUCAAAGUUGGGUGCAGCAAUAGGGGCCGCAGAGGCUAAGGAAGAGGCUUGAAUGAUGAACGCAAGCCACGAGGUGAAGAUCUAGACCCCUGAAGAGAGUUCCAGGCAGAGGAAACAGCAAAGCCUCCCUCCCUCCCUCCCUCCCUCCCUUCCCUCCCUCCCUCUCUCCCUCCCUCUCUCUCUCCCUCCCCCUUCCCGCCUGCCUGCCUGCCUUUCUUCCUUCCUUUUUUUGAGACAGGAUCUCUCUCUGUCACCCAGGUGGGAAUACAGUGGCGCGAUCAUGGCUCACUGCAUCCUCAAUCUCCCAGGCUCAGGUGAUCCUCCCACCUCAGCCUCCCAAGUAGCUGGGACUACAGGCACGUGCCACCAUUCCCCACUACUUUUUGUAUUUUUUUGUAGAGAUGAGUUUUUGCCAUGUUGCCCAUGCUGGAGCCACAUUUCUUGAAGUGGGAGACAUCGUGGUAUGUUGAGAAAAUAUGUUGAUUCUUUAUGACUUUUCCCAAUUCAGGAGUCACUUAACCCUUGUCCAAGCUUGAGGGUCUUAGGUGCUGCUUUCUUUUUUUAUUUUUAAACUUUCUAUUAUUGUUAUUUUUGAGACAGUCUUGCUCUGUCGCCCAGGCUGGAGUGCAGUGGCGCGAUCUCAGCUCACGGCAAACUCUACCUCCCGGGUUCAAGUGAUUCUCAGCUUCCCUGAGUACCUGGGACUACAGGCAUGCGUUAGGUGCUGCUUUCUAAGUGCCAAGGUUACCUGAGGGUUUGUCCUCAGGUCUAUGAAAUGUGGCUCUGAUUUCCUAACAUCUUUCUUUCUCUUUCCCUUUGUCAGACAGGGGAGCAAGGUGUUCCUCAUUCAUUUGUGAUUGGAAACAGUAAGUUACCAGUCACUGAGUACAUGCUGUGUAUUGUGCUAACUGCUUAGUUGUAUUACCUUAUUUAAUCUGCAAACAACCCAAUGGAAUAUUGUGGAAUAGUAGUCUUAAAACAGAAGCAUGCCCCCUCUAUCUUCCUUUCUCCGCCAUCGUGGUGUGCGCUUGACUCUGCUUCUUGCCAUGUCUUCUCACAAGACUUUCAGGAUUAAGCGAUUCCUGCCAAGAAACAAAAGCAGGCUGGGCGCAGUGGCUCACGCCUGUAAUCCCAACACUUUGGGAGACUGAGGUGGGUGGAUCAUGGGGUCAGGAGUUCAAGACCAGCCUGGCCAAUAUGGUGAAACCCUGUCUCUACUAAAAAUACAAAAAUUAGCUGGGCAUGGUGGUGCAUGCCUGUAAUCCCAGCUACUUGGAGGCUAAGGCAGGAUAGUUGCUUGAACCGGGACCCGGGAGGUGGAGGUUGCAGUGAGUCGAGAUUGCGCCACUGCACUCCAGCCUGGGCUACAGAGCAAGACUCCGUCUCAAAAAAAAAAAAAAGGAACAAAAGCGAAAUCGUUCCAAUCCCCAGUGGAUUCAGAUGAAAACUGGUAAUAAAAUCAGGUACAGGUCAGGCAUGGUGGCUCACGUCUGUAAUCUGAGGUCAGGAGUUCAAGACCAGCCUGGCCAACAUGGUGAACCCUCAUCUCUACUAAAAAUACAAAAAAAUGGCCAGGCAUGAUGGCUCACACCUGUAAUCCCAGCACUUUGGGAGACCAAGUCGGGUGGAUCACAAGGUCAAGAGAUUGAGACCAUCCUGGCCAACAUGGUGAAACCCCAUCUCUACUAAAAAUACAAAAAUUAGCCGGGUGUGGUGGCACGUGCCUGUAAUCUCAGCUACUCAGGAGGCUGAGGCAGGAGAAUAGCUUGAACCCGGGAGGCGGAGGUUGUGGUAAGCCGGGAUUACGCCACUGCACUCCAGCCUGGCAACAGAGUGAGACUCCAUCUCAAAAACAAACAAACAAACAAACAAACAAACAAAAAAAUUAGCCAGGUAUGGUGGCAUGCUCCUGUAAUCCCAGCUACUCGGGAGGCUGAGGCAGGAGAAUCACUUGAACCCAGAGGGUGGAUGUUGCAGUGAGCCGAGAUCGCGCCAUUGCACUCUGGCCUGGGCUACAAGAGUGAGACUCUGCUUCAAAAAAAAAAAAAUCAGGUACAACUCUGAAAGGUGACAUUGGAGAAGAACCUUAUAGACAUUGGGUCUAUAAGGAAUUGCACACGAGAUAGCAUAUAUUUAUGCUGUAUCAAGGUCAUGAUGAUCUUACCAUAUCAAGCUGAAAAUGUCACCACUAUUUGAACCAUCGGACAUGUUUUAUUGGGAAUGUAUUUUUUCUGUUUGUAUGCUCUGAGCUAGCAGGCUGGGUUCAGUAAUAAAUAUGUGAGAAAUUUUGUUUGAAAAAAACAAAAAACAGGAGCAUGCUGUACUGAUUUAAGAGGAUUAAUUUCUAGAAUCUACAUGUUCAUGCUUAUAUUUACUUAUUCCGAUUCCAUGUGGGUCUGGGUGGGACACGAGGAUCUGCAUUUUUAACUAGCUUUUGGGGGAUGCCAAUGCUUCUGUUUUAUAGAACACACUUUGAUUAGCAUCAUUCUAUACCAGAAGUUGACAAACUUUCUCUAUAAAGGGCCAAAUAGUUAAUAUUUUCAGUUUUGUAGGCCCUGAAAUCUUUGUUACAAGUACUCAAUUCUGCUAUUGCAGCAGGCAGAAACAUGUAAAUGGAUGGAUGUGGCUGUGUUCUAAUAAAACUUUAUGUAUUUUUUAUUUUUUGUUGAG
rnacentral:lncRNA from 1 species